AUACCUUUUACGGUCUUUUAGCUAAGAUAAAGUAUAAUACUUGUUCUUAUCAGUUUAAUAUCUAAUAUGUCGAUCAUAUGUUCACUUUGAUAUUAAAUUUAUUUUUUAUGGGUAUCAAAUAUGAUUGUGUCCCGCUUCUCGUCUAACCUCGCUAGCUGAAGGAGGAAAAAGUGGAUCGAGC
rnacentral:snRNA from 1 species